rnacentral:rRNA from 1 species
UACGUAGGGGGCAAGCGUUGUCCGGAUUUAUUGGGCGUAAAGAGCGUGUAGGCGGCUUGGUAGGUCUCGUGUCAAAACCUGAGGCUCAACCUCAGUUCGCGUGGGAAACCACCUAGCUAGAGUCCGGAAGAGGAGAACGGAAUUCCCAGUGUAGCGGUGAAAUGCGCAGAUAUUGGGAAGAACACCAGUGGCGAAGGCGGUUCUCUGGGACGGUACUGACGCUGAGACGCGAAAGCGUGGGGAGCGAACAGG